CUAGUUUUACCUGGACAUUACCUGUGAACAUUUUAGUUUACAAGUAUUUAGUCGGAUUUAUCUGGCAGUGACCUCACACGGCUUUCCACCACGAGUCCGAGCCAUCAAUCAAAGCUACCUUCUGCAUUGUUAUCAGCCAUGAGGGACACCUUUUUGUCUGCAAUAGAGCAGCCAUUAAUGUCAAGCUGUUGUUUAUCUGUCAGGAAACGUUCACAGUCGAAACCUGUCAAAUCUCACAGUGUUUAUCGAGAACGGAACGAGUUGAAGGCACAGACGCGGAAGUGUCCCUGUGUGUGUGUGUUUGAGAGAGAGAGAGAGAGGGUAGAGCAGGCUGUGGAACAGGUGCAUGGCUGGGAGCUGUGCUGGUAGAAGGAGCAGUAGGGGCUAGGAAAGCCUGGAAGAAGUCGGACAUCAUGGCUGGUGGAGGGUUAGAGGUUUGAGUCCGGCGCAGCAGAGAAGAUGCUAAUGAGGAGCAGGAGGAAGGACUUGGCAGAGGGGCUGCUGGGAGAUAACACAUCAGCUUCAGUGCCCCUCCCCCACGUCGCCAUGGUGCCCACAGAUGGCCACUUCCUGUGGUCCUGCCCGGCGAUUGGCGGAAAAAACUUUCAAGCCGGGAGCAGCUGGGCGAGGGAUGAUGCAUCGCCCGGCGUUUGCACUUUCAUUUUCAGGGUUUCCAGCAUCUGGCAGGAAGUGGACACAAAAGGAGAGCGACCUGUUGUCCUGGAGACGAAAAGGCGCGCGGAGGGGAGCAGACAGGAAAUGAGGACGAUGUCCUCCAGAAGCUCCAUAAGGAGAGGGUGACCAAAAACAGAAUUUUGAGGAUCAAAACUACAUAACAGAAGCUUCUUAUUGUUAUUUUAGAGUUAAUAACCAUAAUAAAUUCUUUAAAUUACGCAUUCCACAAUUGUUUGUUUCACUUUUUGUUUAAUUUUGUGAUCAAUUUUUCCACUAAUGUAGAAGAUUUACAACACAGAUCUUCCUGCACAGGCAGAAAGUACACACUUUCAACACCAGAGGGAGCCAUUUCUCAAAUUUAAUAAACCAGAUGGAUGAAAAUAAAAAUGUAAAGGUUUCGGAAAGACACAAAAAAUAAAAAUAAAAUAAAAUAAAAGUGCCUGGUGUCACAGUGUUGGUGGAGAUGUAGAUAUUGAAAGAUUUCAAAAGUUUUGCGUACUAGCAAAAAGAAAAUUUCCCGGUUGGAGACGGUGAGUGACAACCAACACGGCAAUAAUUCACCACAUGAGGCAAAACAAACACACGUGUGUGAUUCAAACUGUACACGAAAGUGACAGAAAAAUAAACUUCCUGGUUGAAUGAACGUCAAAAUGAAAAGAAAAAAAAAAACUGCUGCUACCCUUUUUUUUUUUAAGAAGACAAAUAUUUAAUACGUUAGAGAAAAGUCAUGCAGCUGAAACCUUGUGCUCAAAAGCCUAAACUGAGUUACUGAGCCAAAAUGUUUGUUUGUUUUUUAGUGUGCAAAAAGUAGUGCGCAGGUUUUUUUGAGUUUAGCGUUCUCGUGCCCUGAAACGGAACCAAAAUUACGCGCUGUGAUUGUUUGCGCUUCGGGUUUGUUGCAUGCAAAGAAAGUCCGCCGGUAUCGCUAACUCCAGAGGCGACAAAUUGUUCUAAAUAAAAAAAAACUGAAAAAGUCUUCUAAAGAAGUGCUGCAGUUUGACCUCUUGAACUUUGACGAACCAGGCGUGUUCGUACCAAACGGCCACAGACGCUUCAUCAUGGCCCGAAACGCAGACUUGACAGCUCAGCGUCUUCCAGGACAUCAAUCAUGGCACGAUUGUCGUAAAAAGGAUGAAGGCUUUAGCGAUAAAAAACAAAACAAAAACACAUUUGUAGAAAAGAAGCUAAUGAACAAACGCAGGAGAGCCGUACAUCAUGCGUGUUGUACUUAGGUCAGUGAAAGCAGCACAAGGUACAAGGAGCUCGUAAAGCUCAGAGCUGCAAAAAAAAAAAAAAAAAAGUCUCAUGCUAGCUACCCGACCGGCAAUUUUGGUAACUUUUGUACAAUGCUACAUGGAAACCAUAAAAAAUAAACCUCAAAAGGCGGAGCAAAUGUAUUGGAUUUAUUUAAAAUAAGAGAGAAAAGAUCGAAUGGAAAUUCUGUUUCCUCAGAUCUUGUCCAUCCAAAGCCACCGUUUACCGAAACAAACAAAGGAUGUUGAAGUUUGGAUCCUUGCAGCAGUUAAAGCAUAAAGUUUGUUUGAACAAACCCCCAUUUCAAGCAGAAUUGAAAUAAAUGGAAAUUAACUAAUAAAAAAAAAACAUAUCUUUUUUUUUUUUGAAGGCUAAAGUUAGAGAGCCCCCUGUGGUAAAGUGGAGUUACUGCACACUGACAUUUCAAAAUAAAAGCCUACAAAUAAAAGACUUUUAAAAACAUUUGUUUCCGUUUUGCCUUCUUUUGAUUCGCUGUUUCCACUUUGGGGUUUCAACGUUUGAACAUUUUACAGCGAUUUUCGCAAUACCCUUCUGUAACUACCCCGGAGAAAUUUUGAUUCUUUUUGUUUGAUUUAACCAUUAAAAAAAUGCCCUAAAACAAAAGAGGAGUUUCCCUUCAAAAUAAAGCUGCUGUGCGUGUGUGUGGACAUUCUGCAGCUUCAGAACUGCUAAAAAUCACCAUAGAAACGCUGAUGUACAAACUUGCAUAGAUAAAGUUUCACAGAACAGUUUCUGAAACCCAAACACUGAACAUUCUUUAACGUGGACCGUUUUUUUGUUUUUGUUUUACGUCUUUCCAGCUAACAGAAAAAGAAAAAAACAGCCGUAAGCAUUAAAGCAAGUUUUCAAUCAAAGGGAGAGUGGCCUAUACUUUAGGAGUUGUUAUCAUGAUAAGGGCUCAGUUUGGCUGUGAUAAAUGUUGAUGGUGAUAAGAUUUUCAAAAUAAAAGGCAAGAAAUUUUUAAAUUUAUCACAAAAAAUCUUUUUAGAUUUGUUUUAGUGUUUAUAACUUGCAUGGAGAUUUAAAUAGUGACAUCAUAAAUCUUUUGGACAACAUUUUGAAAAGCUUGAAGAUGCUUUCCCUGGGUUUAAGUGUUUGACUGUUUGGGCUUUUCUGCAUUUAAGGCUUUUUGUUAUGAUGACUGAAUUGUCACCAUUUUUCCUUUUUUCUUUUUUUAACUUUAUUUUGAAAUUUUCCUCUCAGCAUUUGGACAGGAUUUCCAAAAAUCCCCUCAUGAAUUGAUGCUUUUUUUUUUUAGGUGGAAUGCCACUCAGUCCCUGCAUAAAGCAGUUAAAUGGAGCAAAGACGAACAAAACGAGUUGUUUUUUGCAUAAACGGAAAUAAAAAACUUUUUUUUUCUUUUUCUUUUGAGUGGCUUUCCCCGUUUUUGAGCGGAAAAACAAGUGACAACACUCGGAGCACAUGUCUAUUUAUAGCACGGGAUUAUAAAACAUUGACAUCAUCAAGAGGGCGUGCUGUACAUUGAACCGGUCCCGCCCCGACUAAGACACCAUGCUGUGUGUGUGUGUGUGUGUGUGUGUGUGUGUGUGUGUGUGGAGUUACACCAAACAUGCGUGGUGCAACUCUCCGCUGCUACCGCUGAACCCGCACAGCUACAGAAUUUAGUGUUGGCGGAAAAGCUUUGUCAUUUACGGCGGGUAAUCUUAGCGAUAGAAGCUCCUCCCCCUUUUCCCAGAGGCUCCCGUAUUGUCCACAUUUCAAAAGCCCCCCCCCCCCAGAAAUGCAGCGGCGCCGCUCGUGACGCCGUCAGGUGUCCGGCUUCAUCAGAGUCUCCUUUCCGCUCACCUUCUUUACAUCCGGAUUGUCUCUCAUGUCCUCCUCGUGCAGAGUGAAUGGAUCCCGAAAGCGGUGGGCGUGGCCUGAAAACGUGGAGGCCACUUAAAGCUGGAGGAGGAUGGGAACAGAGGGGGAAAAGAACCGGACAGAGGAAGAUGAGGAAGGAGAUGAUGAACAUGGCUCGUCCGUGGCGCGGCUGUAAACCCGUGAAGGCCGGCGCCGCUGCUUAGGUUGGCAGCGGGUCGUCGUCGCCUUUACUGCACUUGCACUUGCAGCAGAGGACGAUGGGCGUGGCCAGGAGGAGGAAGGGGGAGGCGACGAGCAGAAGGAGGCCGAAACCAGCGAAGAUACCCACAACCUGCAAAAGCACGUUAGGAAGAUUUUUACUGAAGUUUAACACUUUAACGUCUCUAUUUAAAAACACGAUGCGUGUUCUUUUGUGUCGGGGCGGUCCAACAAUGUCUUCCUAACAAACCACUUCUCCUGGAGAGCAACUUCACUUUUUGGGUUUCUCUGAAAAU
ensembl:lncRNA